GGUACAGAGACAUCUACUAAGUCAUGGGAAACCGACCAGGAAUCGUGACUCAUCUCCCAGAAGCUACAAAGGCUCAAGCACCUCUCUCUGCACGCUGGAAUUCAGAACUGUGUUGAUUUUGUGCAGGUCUUAUUCAGCCUAUGGUCAGCUGGCUUCCCUGUGCUAUAUCUGUGGUGGGCAGAAGAUCACAGAAGAAUUGUGACAGAAAAGGCUGUUAACUUCACAGCACCUGGAAGUGAAGAUAGAAAAGAAAGACCAGAGAUAAUAUGUCCCUCUUCAAAGGCAUGCUCCCAGUGACUUCCACCCUACAACUAGGCCCACCUGCUGAAGUUUCCACACUCCCAGGCGUGCUACCAGCUGUGGAUAAAGCCUUCUGCACAUGAGAAAUGAGAGAACAUCUGCAUUCAGACUAUAAUAAAUGACUAUGGCAAGUA